UUCGCCGCUCGUGACGUCUUGAGAAGUCCACUGAACCUUAUCAUUUAGAGGAAGGAGAAGUCGUAACAAGGUUUCCGUAGGUGAACCUGCGGAAGGAUCAUUGUCGAAAUACUCAAAGAGGAGGACCGUGAACAUGUCAAUGAGCUUCGUCGGGCCGAGCCUGCCUCGUACCGAUGUAGUCCCGGACCUUGCGGUUCGGACGAUCGACCAAACCUCCGGCGCGAUGGGCGUCAAGGAGCAUGGAACUAGCGGGCUGGCGGGACUCUGUCCCAGUCGCCCUGCCAUUACUGAGAAUCGAAUGACUCUCGGCAACGGAUAUCUCGGCCCUCGCAUCGAUGAAGAACGUAGCGAAAUGCGAUACGUGGUGUGAAUUGCAGAAUCCCGCGAACCAUUGAGUCUUUGAACGCAAGUUGCGCCCGAGGCCUUCCGGUCGAGGGCACGCCUGCCUGGGCGUCACGCUAUUGUUGCUCCCUGUGCCCCCAAGCUCGACGCAUGAGUGAUGGAGCCGGAUGCGGAUGCUGGCCCUCCGUGCGCUCGCGCGCGGUCGGUUGAAGAGGGUGCCGUCGGUGAUGGUCGGACACGACGGAUGGUGGCGCCAUGAGCAAAAGCCGAAAGUUGUGCCUCGGCCUCGGAGGCGAUCUCCGAAGGAAACCCCCAUCCCUCCAUAAUCGUAGGGCUUGGACUGCGACCCCAGGUCAGGCGGGGCCACCCGCCGAGUUUAAGCAUAUAAAUAAGCGGAGGAGAAGAAACUUACGAGGAUUCCCAUAGUAACGGCGAGCGAACCGGGAUCGGCCCAGCUUGAGAAUCGGUCGGCGGUGCCGUCCGAA
rnacentral:rRNA from 1 species